rnacentral:tRNA from 1 species
GCGCCCGUAGCUCAACGGAUAGAGCACCUGGCUUCGAACCAGGGGGUUGUGGGUUCGAGUCCUGCCGGGCGCA